AUUCCAGCUGAUCCUGCUGGAGGAUACUGCUAUCGAAAUCCGACUUAGACAUGCAAGUCUUGGAGGCAAAGCUAUGUUUGCUUCCGGCACACGGCUCAGUAACACGUGGAUAAUCUGCCCUUAAGAGGAGCCAAACCCGGGAAACUGGGCAUAAUACUCCGUAGGCAAAAGAUACUGGAAGGUUCUUUUGUCAAAAGGCAUUGCAGUGCAUGCUAUUGCAAUGCGCUUAAGGAUGAGUCUGCGGUGGAUUAGGCUGUUGGCGGGGUAACUGCCCACCAAACCAUUGAUCCAUACGGGCCUUGGAAGAGGUAGCCCGGAGAAGGACACUGAGAUAAGGGUCCUAGCCCUACGGGGUGCAGCAGUCGCGAAAACUUUACAAUGCGCGCAAGCGUGAUAAGGGGAUUUCGAGUGCAAGCACUGCUUGCUUUUGCCAAGCGCAAAAAACUUGGCGAAUAAGUGGGGGGUAAGAUACGUGCCAGCCGCCGCGGUAAUACGUACUCCACAAGUGGUAUCCGCUAAUAUUGGGCCUAAAACGUUUGUAGCCGGUUCAAAAAGUCUUUGGUGAAAUCCAGUUGCUCAACAAUUGGAAUUGCCAAAGAUACUCUUGGACUCGAGACCGGGAGAGGUUAAGGGAAUUUCCGGAGUAGCGGUGAAAUGCUAUGAUCCCGGAAAGACCACCAGUAGCGAAGGCGCUUAACCAGAACGGGUCUGACGGUGAGAAACGAAAGCUGGGGGAGCGACCCGGAUUAGAUAUGGAAUAUGGGGAGAAAAUUAAAAUCUUUUAAAAAAUUCUUCAAUUCCACUAAAUACCCGGUUAGUCCCAGCCGUAAACGAUGUGGACUAGGUGUUCCGUCACCCUCGAGGUGCCGGAGUGCCGUAGGGAAGCCAUUAAGUCCACUGCCAGGGAAGUACACUCGCAAGGGUGAAACUUAAUGGAAUUGGCGGGAGCUCACUACAAGGGGUGGAUGCUGCGGUUCAAUUGGAUACAACCCCAGAUAAUCUUACCAGAGUCGACAGCAGAAUGAUGGACAGUCUGAAGGGCUUUCCUGACGCGCUGAGAGGUGUUGUAUGGUCAUCGUCAGCUCGUACUAUGAAGCGUCCUGUUAACUCAGGCAACGGGCGAGACCCACGCCAAUAGUUGCAACCGAAAGAAUUUCUUUUGGGCACUCUAUUGGGACUGCGACAGCAAUGUUGAGGAAGGAGUGGGCCACGGUAGAUCUGUAUGGCCCGAAUACUUUGGGCAACACGCGGCAUACAAUGGCUAAGACAACGGGUCACGACGCCGAAAGGCGAAGUUAAUCUCUUAACCUUAGCCUCAGUUCGGAUCGAGGGUUGUAACUCACCCUCGUGAAUGCCUGGAAUCCCCAGUAAUUGCAGUUCAUUAUACUGCGGUGAAUACGUCCCUGAGCUUUGCACACACCGCCCAUCAAGCCAGUUGAGUAGAGCCUGGAUGAGAUGUUUCCUUCAGGAAGCAACGAUUCUGAGUUCUGCGAGACGGGCUAAGUUGUAACAAGGUGUCCGUAGGGGAACCUGCGGACGGAUCACCUCC
rnacentral:rRNA from 1 species